AAUGAACGUUGGCGGCGUGGAUUAGGCAUGCAAGUCGUACGGGCCGCAAGGCCAGUGGCGCAAGGGUGAGUAAGGCGACGGUAACCAACCCCAUGGCUGGGUAUAGCCGCGGGAAACCGCGGGUAAUCCCCAGCGAUGCACGAGACCGGCAUCGGUCUUGUGCCAAAGCUCCGGCGCCGUGGGACGGGCCGUCGUGGUAUUAGGUAGUUGGCGGGGUAACGGCCCACCAAGCCGACGAUGCCUACCGGGCGUGCGAGCGUGGCCCGGCACACUGGGACUGAGACACUGCCCAGACACCUACGGGCGGCUGCAGUCGAGAAUCUUCGGCAAUGGGCGCAAGCCUGACCGAGCGACGCCGCGUGUGGGAUGAAGGCCUUCGGGUUGUAAACCACUGUCAGAGGGGAUGAAAUGCAGGUGGGUUCUCCCAUCUGUUUGACAUAGCCUCAGAGGAAGGACGGGCUAAGUUCGUGCCAGCCGCCGCUGUAACAC
rnacentral:rRNA from 1 species